UGGGGAAUAUUGGACAAUGGGCGAAAGCCUGAUCCAGCAAUGCCGCGUGUGUGAAGAAGGUCUUCGGAUUGUAAAGCACUUUCGACGGGGACGAUGAUGACGGUACCCGUAGAAGAAGCCCCGGCUAACUUCGGGCCAG
rnacentral:rRNA from 1 species